GGGGAAUAUUGGACAAUGGGCGCAAGCCUGAUCCAGCCAUGCCGCGUGAGUGAUGAAGGCCCUAGGGUUGUAAAGCUCUUUCGGCGGGGACGAUAAUGACGGUACCCGCAGAAGAAGCCCCGGCUAACUUCGUGCCAGCAGUCGCGGUAAUACGAAGGGGGCUAGCGUUGUUCGGAAUCACUGGGCGUAAAGCGCACGUAGGCGGAUUGUUAAGUCGGGGGUGAAAUCCCGAGGCUCAACCUCGGAACUGCCGUCGAUACUGGCAAUCUUCGAGUCCGGAAGAGGUGAGUGGAACUCCGAGUGUAGAGGUGAAAUUCGUAGAUAUUCGGAAGAACACCAGUGGCGAAGGCGACUCACUGGUCCGGUACUGACGCUGAGGGGCGAAAGCGUGGGGAGCAAAC
rnacentral:rRNA from 1 species